CCUACGGGGGGCAGCAGUGGGGAAUAUUGGGCAAUGGGCGCAAGCCUGACCCAGCAACGCCGCGUGAAGGAAGAAGGCUCUCGGGUUGGAAACUUCUUUUCUGCGGGACGAAGAAAGUGACGGUACCUCAGGAAUAAGCCACGGCUAACUACGUGCCAGCAGCCGGGGGAAUCCGUAGGGGGCAAGCGGUAUCCGGGUUUUAUGGGUGAAAAGGGCGUGUUGGGGGGAAAGCAAGUCAGAUGUGAAAACUCAGGGCUCAACCCGGAGCCUGCAUUUGAAACUGUUUUUCUUGAGUGCUGGAGAGGCAAGCGGAAUUACGGGUGUAGCGGUGAAAUGCGUAGAUAUACGGAGGAACACCAGUGGCGAAGGCGGAUUGCUGGACAGUAACUGACGCUGAGGCGCGAAAGCGUGGGGAGCAAACAGGAUUAGAUACCCCAGUAGUC
rnacentral:rRNA from 1 species